rnacentral:rRNA from 1 species
UACGUAGGGUGCGAGCGUUGUCCGGAAUUACUGGGCGUAAAGAGCUCGUAGGUGGUUUGUCGCGUUGUCCGUGAAAACUCACAACUCAAUUGUGGGCGUGCGGGCGAUACGGGCAUCACUGGAGUUCGGCAGGGGAGACUGGAAUUCCUGGUGUGCGGUGAAAUGCGCAGAUAUCAGGAGGAACACCGGUGGCGAAGGCGGCCUCCUGGG